CAGCCGCCGCGGGAAUACGAAGGGUGCAAGCGUUACUCGGAAUUACUGGGCGUAAAGCGUGUGUAGGUGGUUGUUUAAGUCUGUCGUGAAAGCCCUGGGCACAACCUGGGAAUUGCGAUGGAUACUGGGCGACUAGAGUGCGGUAGAGGAUAGUGGAAUUUCCGGUGUAGCAGUGAAAUGCGUAGAGAUCGGAAGGAACAUCUGUGGCGAAGGCGACCAUCUGGGCCAACACUGACACUGAGACACGAAAGCGUGGGGAGCAAACAGGAUUAGAUACCCCGGUAGUCCCUGUCUCUUAUAC
rnacentral:rRNA from 1 species